rnacentral:telomerase_RNA from 1 species
UCGACGGAGUGUCUCAUCUAACCCUAAAUAUGGGCGACCUCCUGUCAUUGACGUCUGCUGUUUUCGUCUCUUUUAGCUUUCAGUGGACGACAGGAGAUGUGCGAAGUGUCGCUGGGGAUAUUUAGAAAAAAAAAAAAAAAAGCCAAGAUAAUCACUCCGCAUGUUCAGUUUACUCGUACUGAAACGCCGUGAUUGUCGCCGUGGUCAGCUUGGCUGCCGCGAAGAGUUCGUCUCUGCUGCUCCGGUGUCUUCAUGUUGGGAGCACAUUCUGUUUAACACAGGCUAUGGUUGGUCUUAUGGACAACUGAACAGAUUAAACUGAGCAGGGUGAUUCAGCCAGGUCUUCACUUUACCCGGUUUGAAAGCCCACGCUCAAACACUC